rnacentral:rRNA from 1 species
CCAUCCCAGUUCGGAUCGCAGGCUGCAACCCGCCUGCGUGAAGUUGGAAUCGCUAGUAAUCGCGGAUCAGCAUGCCGCGGUGAAUACGUUCCCGGGCCUUGUACACACCGCCCGUCACACCAUGAGAGUCGGGAACACCCGAAGUCCGUAGCCUAACCGCAAGGGGGGCGCGGCCGAAGGUGGGUUCGAUAAUUGGGGUGAAGUCGUAACAAGGUACC